rnacentral:rRNA from 2 species
AGUGAAGCGGGAUGAAGCUCAAAUUUAAAAUCUGGCUGGUUUACCAGUCCGAGUUGUAGUUUAAAGAAGCGUUUUCGGUGGCAGUCUCGGUAUAAAUCCUUUGGAAUAGGGUAUCAUAGAGGGUGAGAAUCCCGUCUUUGACUGAGAAUAUGCUACUAUGUGAUACGUUUUCAAAGAGUCGAGUUGUUUGGGAAUGCAGCUCAAAAUGGGUGGUAAAUUUCAUCUAAAGCUAAAUAUUGGCGAGAGACCGAUAGCGAACAAGUACCGUGAGGGAAAGAUGAAAAGAACUUUGAAAAGAGAGUUAAACAGUGCGUGAAAUUGUUGAAAGGGAAACGCUUGAAACCAGUCAUGCGGUUGGGAAAUCAGUCUCUGACGGGGGGGAAUGGGGGAGGUGUGGACCGCAAGGCCGCUCUUUCUUAUAUCUUUCUCGGCAGGGAUGCACUUUUUCUUCUGCAGGUCAACAUCAGUUUGCUUUGCCGGACAAAACUCUUGGGAAGGUGACAGCUUAGGCUGUGUUAUAGCCCUUGAGCGAUACGGUGGAGCGGACUGAGGUUUUCGCAGCAUGUGCUCUCGGGCAAGGCUGAUUGGGUGCUAUGAGAUCGUUCAGGGUACAAUACAUGUAUUUUGCCUUGUGUCUUUUUUAUACUCGCUCAACUCGGCUCUUCCAUGCUUAGGAUGUUGACAUAAUGGUUUUAAUCGACC